CUGCCAGCACUGCGUGGGAGCACAGUGUGGGAGCACAGCGUAACUCUACUCAUAGCAGCUGAACCGAGUCCCUCCAAAUGAGGAAUCUACACACGACAACACCUAUUCUCAAUCCACUUGUCUGUUAGCAUUAACACCGCAGGCAUCUUCUUCCUCGGCGGAUCCACAGCCUACUUCUGCCUGCCUACCAACAGGACAGGUACCUGUACCCUGGUCUACCUUACCCCAACAUGAGCCCUGUCCCUCCGGGCCAAGAACUGCCUGCCCCUGCUAUGUCACAUGCUCGCUCAAAGAGGGUUACCCUUCAUUUCCUUAUUAGUAGCCCCUAAAGUCACAACUAGUGUGAGGUUAAAAGCAGGAAGCCCAGGAACCUCAUUAUAAUAUUCCCAGUCACUCUCACUAGAAAAAAUAGCAGACUGUCACUCAACUCCAAAACCAACUAGACUCUUCAGCAGCAGUCACCCUACAAAACUGCAAAGGCCUAAAUCUCGUCACUGCUGAAAAAGGAGGUCUGUGCCUCUCUCUAGAUGGACAAUGCUGUUUCUACCUCAA
rnacentral:lncRNA from 1 species